GUAGGAGGCAAACGUUAUCCGGAUUUACUGGGCGUAAAGCGCGUGUAGGUGGUUCUGUAAGUAGGGCGUGAAAGCUCCUGGCUCAACUGGGAGAGGCCGUUCUAAACUGCAGAGCUAGAGGAUGGUAGAGGGAGGUGGAAUUCCGGGUGUAGCGGUGGAAUGCGCAGAUAUCCGGAGGAACACCAGUGGCGAAAGCGGCCUCCUGGACCAUUCCUGACACUCAGACGCGAAAGCUAGGGUAGCAAACGGGAUUAGAGACCCCGGUAGUCCUAGCCCUAAACGAUGUAGACUUGGCGUCGGUGGCUUAAUCGUCAUCGGUGUCGUAGCUAACGCGAUAAGUCUACCGCCUGGGGACUACGGCCGCAAGGUUAAAACUCAAAGGAAUUGACGGGUCCCCGCACAAGCAGCGGAGCGUGUGGUUUAAUUCGUUGCUACACGAAGAACCUUACCUGGGUUUGACAUAGCAGUGGUAGGAACACGAAAGUGGACCGACCCUUCGGGGAGCUGUUACAGGUGUUGCAUGGCUGUCGUCAGCUCGUGUCGUGAGAUGUUCGGUUAAGUCCGCUAACGAGCGCAACCCUUGCCGUGUGUUACAAGUGUCACACGGGACCGCCGGUAUUAAGUCGGAGGAAGGUGAGGAUGACGUCAAGUCAGCAUGACCUUUAUAUCCAGGGCUACACACACGCUACAAUGGUCAGUACAAUAGGUUGCCAAGCCGCGAGGCGGAGCCAAUCCUAAAAAGCUGGCCUCAGUUCAGAUUGCAGGCUGCAACUCGCCUGCAUGAAGUUGGAGKUGCUAGUAACCGCAGGUCAGCUAUACUGC
rnacentral:rRNA from 1 species